UGUNUCAUGUAAUAUAUAUGAGAUAAUACCUGCCCACUGACAAUUGUUUAACGGCCGCGGUAUCCUAACCGUGCAAAGGUAGCAUAAUCACUUGCCUAUUAAUUGUAGGCUAGAAUGAAUGGGUUAACGAAAUAAAAACUGUCUCAAUUAGUCACCUAAAAAUUAUUCUCUACAUGAAGAAAAGUAGAUUAACUCGAAGGACAAGAAGACCCUAUAGAGCUUUAUUUAACAUAUAAAACAAUAUUAUAUAAAAAUUCGGUUGGGGCGACCCAGGGAACAAUUAUCACCCACUACAUAACAGAUAAAUAAAUCAAAUAAAUGACCCUCUAAAGAUCAAAAAAUCAAGCUACCUUAGGGAUAACAGGCUAAUCCUAUUAAAGAGUUCAUAUCUACAAUGGGGUUUGGCACCUCGAUGUUGGCUUAGGUAUCCAUACAGCGCAAAAGUUGUAUAAAGACGGUUUGUUCAACCAAUAAAUUCCU
rnacentral:rRNA from 1 species